UGAAGCGGCAACAGCUCAAAUUUGAAAUCUGGCUCUAGGGUCCGAGUUGUAAUUUGUAGAGGAUGUUUUGGGUACCGCAGCAGUUUAAAUUUCUUGGAACAGAAUGUUAGAAAGGGUGAGAGUCCCGUCUGGAACUGCAGUAGGGCCUAUGUAAAACUCCUUCGACGAGUCGAGUUGUUUGGGAAUGCAGCUCAAAAUGGGUGGUAAAUUUCAUCUAAAGCUAAAUAUUGGCCAGAGACCGAUAGCGCACAAGUAGAGUGAUCGAAAGAUGAAAAGCACUUUGAAAAGAGAGUUAAACAGUAUGUGAAAUUGUUGAAAGGGAAGCGCUUGCAAUCAGACUUGAGUUUAGCGGUUCCCCCUUGCUUUUGCUUGGGCUACUCCGUUAUAUCCAGGCCAACAUCGGUUCUAGGGGUUGGUUAAAGGCUCUAGGAAUGUAUCUACCCCCGGGUAGACUUAUAGCCUAGGGUGUCAUGCAACCUCCCAGGACCGAGGUACGCGCUUCGGCGAGGAUGUUGGCGUAAUGGUUGUAAGCGACCCGUCUUGAAACACGGACCAAGGAGUCUAACAUCUAUGCGAGUGUUUGGGUGUCAAACCCGUACGCGGAAUGAAAGUAAACGGAGGUAAGAAGCCUUAAGGCUGCAUUAUCGACCGAUCCUGAAAUUUAUGGAUGGAUUUGAGUAAGAGCAUAGCUGUUGGGACCCGAAAGAUGGUGAACUAUGCCUGAAUAGGGUGAAGCCAGAGGAAACUCUGGUGGAGGCUCGCAGCGGUUCUGACGUGCAAAUCGAUCGUCAAAUUUGGGUAUAGGGGCGAAAGACUAAUCGAACCAUUAAGAAUAUAGCUACCUAGGUGGUUAAGUGUGGCCAGAUAAUGGUUGCAAGUACCUAAUAUUCAGGUGCAAUACUGUCAAAUUGCGGGGACGUCCUAAAGCUUUAGCGACCGCCUUUAACUGUGAAAACAGCUUUUGGGCACCAGAUUAAUGAUCUGGGUAAGGUAACACUGCUAAAGAUAUAAUAAUGGAUAAUCCGCAGCCAAUUCCUAAGGCCUGUAGGCUAUGGAUGCAGUUCACAGACUAAAUGGCAGUAGGCUCUUCAGAGCUUAAGUUAUAGUCGGUCCCCUGGAGAAAUCCAGGCGCAUACGCUAAAUCUAUAGUUAAGAAUUAGGUAUUCCCUACAGCUAUAGACCCGAACGGUGCGGGUGUUCUUAGGAAUAUUGGAUUAAACGCUGGUAGCUGGUUCCUGCCGAAGUUUCCCUCAGGAUAGCAGUAACGUUUUCAGUUUUAUGAGGUAAAGCGAAUGAUUAGAGGCCUUGGGGUUGAAACAACCUUAACCUAUUCUCAAACUUUAAAUAUGUAAGAAGCCCUUGUUGCUUAAUUGAACGUGGGCAUUUGAAUGUAUCGUUACUAGUGGGCCAUUUUUGGUAAGCAGAACUGGCGAUGCGGGAUGAACCGAACGGGAGGUUAAGGUGCCGGAGUGCACGCUCAUCAGACACCACAAAAGGUGUCAAUGCAUCUAGACAGCCGGACGGUGGCCAUGGAAGUCGGAAUCCGCUUAGGAGUGUGUAACAACUCACCGGCCGAAUGCAUUGGCCCUGAAAAUGGAUGGCGCUUAAGCGUGUCACCUAUACCUCCCCGUAACCGUUCACUGGACGCGGUUACGAGUAGGCAGGC
rnacentral:rRNA from 1 species